CCACCUGCGGACCUACUCCCCUUCUAGUUGUUCGACUUUCCGCCUUUUCCCCUUGGACCUCCGAGGAGACCAACACGUGGCAUCUCCGAGGUGUAGGGUAGUUUUAGUAGCAGAAUCUGACUGCAGAGAACAGGACAAUACCCGGUGGCUGGGGACACAACUUUAUGUCAGCUAAAGUCUCAGGUGCAUCCAUUUUGUUUCAGAGACUUGGAAAAAGGAGUGGAAGAAGGCGAAGAGAAAUCAGGACGUGGAGGAAUCCGACCACGCCAAACUUACUGAGACCACAGAGGAGACCAGAGGACCGAAGACGAGCAGCCAGAAGGUCAUCUGCUAGAAGUAACUUACCUUCGCUUUUUCAAACAUGUUAUAUGGUGUUUCACCUCUAUGAAACCUUCAUCCACGUCUAUAAGAACAAGAAAGUUCCCCGGGGAAAUUGGUGAUGGGCCUGGCUGGCCUUGAGGAUGCUCUUGAGUGAGAACUGGAUGCCUAGUUCUGCAAGUCGAGACCAGAAAGCAGUCAGCCACUCUGAGCAAGCACUGGAUGGAGAAGCUGCUGGGUGCAGACCAGGAGAAAUGCAAGAUUGGACCAUUGACAGAAGACUGGCUUCUUCCAAAGAGAAAGUGAAAGAGGAAGGCAAACUGGAAUGAGGAGCCCUUUUAGAGUCUUAAUAUAAACCCUGUUGACUGAAGGCCCCGUGACCAGUGCACAGCUGUCGUGAGGUCCAAAAACAGAAAGUGGAGGGGCUGGGUUUGCACGGCAGAUCGCAAAUUGAAUCUACUAGCUCAUAUCUUGGGGCAGGAAGGUGCCUCCUUCUCCAGGUUCUGAACCGGAGCCUAAGAUUUAACCUCGAGCCUAAGACAAUCCUAUACCAGCAUAGGCACUGGAGGUAGAAUGCGGCUGGAGAGGAGGAAACUCAAGGCUUGAUCACUGACUGACCACUGACUGCUUCAAAACACAGGAGGCCACAGAAGAACCGGAGCCUAAGAUUUAUCCUCAAGCACAAGACAAUCCUACACCAGCACAGGCACUGGACGUAAAAUGCGGCUGGAGAAGAACUCAAGGCUUGACCACGGACUGGCAACUGACUGCUUCAAAACCGAGGAGGCCUGAGAAGAACCGGAGCCUAAGAUUUCUCCUUGAUCACAAGACAAUCCUACACCAGCAUAGGCACUGGAGGUAGAAUGCGGCUGGAGAGGAGGAAACUCAAGGUUUGAUCACUGACUGGCUACUGACUGCUUCAAAACAGGAGGCCUGAGAAGAACCGGAGCCUAAGAUUUAACCUCCAGCACAAGACAGUCCUACACCAGCAUAGGCACUGGAGGUAGAAUGCAGAUGGAGAGGAGGAAACACAAGGUUUCAUCACUGACUGGCUACUGACUGCUUCAAAACAGAGGAGGCCUGAGAAGAUCCUUUGACAAAGUUGCCAGCAAUUCAACACAGAUCAUGAAAAGUAGUUGUGGUCUAGAGUGUGGCCUGUGAAGAUAACCUGGUAAAAGAGGAGGUGGUGAUGCCAACUCGUGGCUAAAUCUGAUCUUUCAGGACCGAAAGUUCCCUCUUCAAUUUAGACAGGAUCCAAGAAUUUGAACCGGAGCCUAAUAUUUAUCCUCGAGCACAAGACAAUCCUACACUAGCAUAGGCACUGGAGGUAGAAUGCAGAUGGAGAGGAGGAAACUCAAGGCUUGAUCACUGACUGACCACUGAUUGCUUCAAAACAGAGGAGCCCUGAGAAGAAGUCACGGAACCCGAGUCUGCCCCUACAGUUGUUGUAGUUGUCUGUAGUCACCAUCUUCCGCCAUGGCUAAGAAUCAUGGGAAGGAAGCUCAGUGGUGCUGUGUCUUAUGAAACUCCAUCCUCAUGAUGGCAGUAGAGCUCCAUGAAGGACCUGAUGAAGGCAAACUGAGGCCUUAAUCUAGCAAAGGUAAUGGAACUGUUCAACCUUACUUCUGUAGCAUAUUUACCCUGUCUUUAUAAUUGUUUUAUAACAAUUUUUUUAGUUUUGUUUAGUCCAGGCAUCUAGCGCUAUUUAAAGUUUUGGUAGUAUUUAUUUUCUGUAAUUUUUGUGCAAUGAGGAUGUUCUAUGAGGUUUAGGAGCAAAGUUCCUUGAAGUUGGCAUGUGCAGGGCAGUGGCUAUCAAUGAUGUGUUGAAUGCUUGGGUUCCAUGUCCUAGACUAGGGGUGGGGUGGGCUGAGGAGCUACUUUCUGUAUAGGCCUUGCAACAGAACAUUACUGAUUUCUAAUAUUAUAAGAAAUAUCCAUGAUUGCUGUUUUCACAAAUAAUAUGAUUAAAAUGGUAUUGUAGAAAACAAUGGGAUAUAAUUAUUAUAGUUUAAUAAUGUUAUUAAUGUUUUCCUGAGUGUUUUUCAUGUGUGUGUGAAUCUAUAUUGGAGGCCAAGACAGUUCAUUGGAAAAUAAAAUGGUUUUAGUGAUUUGAUGUUGGUAAUGGACAUCUGAUUCCUCUAGUCAUUAGA